rnacentral:rRNA from 1 species
CUCCGUUGGUGAACCAGCGGAGGGAUCAUU